AUUGAACGCUGGCGGCAGGCUUAACACAUGCAAGUCGAGCGGAGAUGAGGUGCUUGCACCUUAUCUUAGCGGCGGACGGGUGAGUAAUGCUUAGGAAUCUGCCUAUUAGUGGGGGACAACAUUCCGAAAGGAAUGCUAAUACCGCAUACGCCCUACGGGGGAAAGCAGGGGAUCUUCGGACCUUGCGCUAAUAGAUGAGCCUAAGUCGGAUUAGCUAGUUGGUGGGGUAAAGGCCUACCAAGGCGACGAUCUGUAGCGGGUCUGAGAGGAUGAUCCGCCACACUGGGACUGAGACACGGCCCAGACUCCUACGGGAGGCAGCAGUGGGGAAUAUUGGACAAUGGGCGGAAGCCUGAUCCAGCCAUGCCGCGUGUGUGAAGAAGGCCUUUUGGUUGUAAAGCACUUUAAGCGAGGAGGAGGCUACCUGGAUUAAUACUCUAGGAUAGUGGACGUUACACGCAGAAUAAGCACCGGCUAACUCCGUGCCAGCAGCCGCCGUAACAC
rnacentral:rRNA from 1 species